AGGAUCUGUAAAAGCAAAGAGUGUCUUCAUAUUUCAUUGAAGCACCGUGUGUAAGAUUUGACCCCUGGACUUGAGAAUUGAGUGCAGCAAUCGUAUGAACUAAAGAAAGGAGAUACAAUGAACCCGUGGAUAUUCUUCUCAUGUGACAUUUAUUCUGAAUGAAGCAUUAGGGCAGCAAAUAGUUUGUAACUUAAUAAACCACCUACACUCAGGACCUGGUGCAAUGGAUCUAAUUCGUAGGUUCAAUGGGUGCAUGAAUUAAUUUCAUUCAAAUCCUUGGUUUUUGACUGGUUAUCAUCAUUGAACAGCACAUGGCUCCUUUUUUAACUUAACUCUAUUAAGACCUGAUGUGGUCUUCCUGGCUUUUGACCUCCUGACCUCACUACCACACUCGCCAUCUUCAAUUCUGUGUUCCUCACAACCCAUUGCUUUUUUUUUUUUUUUUUUUUUUUUU